CAUAAUGUAAAUCUUUGUCCAACAUUUGACCGUCCGUCUUAUUUAAAAUAUUUAUAAAAACUUUUUUAAAGAAUAGUCACACAUAAAAUACUAUUCAUAUUUUAUCAUUUAAUAAUAAUAAAAAUAGUAAUCAUAAAAAUUUUCACAUAAGAUGAACGGUCAAACGUUGAAGAUGAAUAGUACAAAAUUGCACUUAUU
rfam:Oryza sativa Japonica Group DNA, chromosome 4, cultivar: Nipponbare, complete sequence.